rnacentral:rRNA from 1 species
GAUGAACGCUGGCGGCGUGCCUAAUACAUGCAAGUCGAGCGAACAGGCGAGGAGCUUGCUCCUCUGACGUUAGCGGCGGACGGGUGAGUAACACGUGGAUAACCUACCUAUAAGACUGGGAUAACUUCGGGAAACCGGAGCUAAUACCGGAUAAUAUAUUGAACCGCAUGGUUCAAUAGUGAAAGACGGUUUUGCUGUCACUUAUAGAUGGAUCCGCGCCGCAUUAGCUAGUUGGUAAGGUAACGGCUUACCAAGGCAACGAUGCGUAGCCGACCUGAGAGGGUGAUCGGCCACACUGGAACUGAGACACGGCCCAGACUCCUACGGGAGGCAGCAGUAGGGAAUCUUCCGCAAUGGGCGAAAGCCUGACGGAGCAACGCCGCGUGAGUGAUGAAGGUCUUCGGAUCGUAAAACUCUGUUAUUAGGGAAGAACAAAUGUGUAAGUACCUAUGCACGUCUUGACGGUACCUAAUCAGAAAGCCACGGCUAACUACGUG